UGGUGAACUGAAAAUGCCACAUUGACAU
rnacentral:piRNA from 1 species